rnacentral:rRNA from 1 species
UACAGAGGGGGCAAGCGUUAUUCGGAAUUAUUGGGCGUAAAGGGCGCGUAGGCGGCUUUGCAAGUGACGGGUGAAAUCCCUCGGCCUAACCGAGGAACUGCGUCCGAUACUGCGGUGCUUGAGGAUCAGAGGGGUGCAUGGAAUUUCCGGUGGAGCGGUGAAAUGCGUUGAUAUCGGAAGGAACUCCGGCGGCGAAAGCGAUGCACUGGCUGAUUUCUGACGCUGAGGUGCGAAAGCCAGGGGAGCAAACGGG